rnacentral:rRNA from 1 species
CCCAGUAGCGGCGAGCGAACGGGGAGCAGCCCGGAGUCUGAAUCAGCUUGUGUGUUAGUGGAACGGUCUGGAAAGUCCGACGGUACAGGGUGAUAGUCCCGUACACGAAAACACACUUGCUGUGAACUCGAAGAGUAGGGCGGGACACGUGGUAUCCUGUCUGAAUAUGGGGGGACCAUCCUCCAAGGCUAAAUACUCCUGACUGACCGAUAGUGAACCAGUACCGUGAGG